AUUGAACGCUGGCGGUAUGCUUAACAUAUGCAAGUCGAACGGCAGCACGGUAUGUAGCAAUACAUAUGGGUGGCAAGUGGCGGACGGGUGAGUAACGCGUAGGAAUCUGCCCUCAAGCGGGGGACAACCCGAGGAAACUCGGGCUAAUACCGCAUAAACUCAGAAGAGAAAAGCUGGGGUAACCUGGCACUUGAGGAGGAGCCUGCGUCUGAUUAGCUAGUUGGUAGGGUAAAGGCCUACCAAGGCGAUGAUCAGUAGCUGGUCUGAGAGGAUGACCAGCCACACUGGAACUGAGACACGGUCCAGACUCCUACGGGAGGCAGCAGUGGGGAAUAUUGGACAAUGGGGGAGACCCUGAUCCAGCAAUACCGCGUGUGUGAGGAAGGCCUUCGGGUUGUAAAGCACUUUAGUUGGGGAGGAAGGUUAGCAGUUUAAGAGAUGGCUAAUUUGACUGUACCCAAAGAAUAAGCACCGGCUAACUCUGUGCCAGCAGCCGCCGCGG
rnacentral:rRNA from 1 species